rnacentral:rRNA from 1 species
GACGAACGCUGGCGGCGUGCCUAACACAUGCAAGUCGAGCGGAGUCGAUCGACGGAAGCCUUCGGGCGGAAGAUGGUUGACUUAGCGGCGGAUGGGUGAGUAACGCGUGGGCAACCUGCCUCGAAGACCGGGAUAACAGCCCGAAAGGGCUGCUAAUACCGGAUGUGGUCAAGGAUCCGCAUGGAUUUUUGAUUAAAGGGGAAACCCGUUUCGAGAUGGGCCCGCGUCCUAUCAGCUAGUUGGUGAGGUAAAAGCUCACCAAGGCGACGACGGGUAGCCGGCCUGAGAGGGUGACCGGCCACACUGGAACUGAGACACGGUCCAGACUCCUACGGGGGGCAGCAGUGGGGAAUCUUCCACAAUGGGCGAAAGCCUGAUGGAGCGACGCCGCGUGAGCGAAGAAGGCCUUCGGUUGUAAGACUCUGUCUGGAGGGACGAAGGAAGUGACGGUACCUCCGGAGGAAGCCACGGCUAACUACGUGCCAGCAGCCGCGGUAAACGACGAGAGUA